rnacentral:tRNA from 1 species
GCGCCGCUCGGCGGCGGGACGCUCACCCGAGCUGGGGGUCCGGGAGGCGUGGGCGCGGUUCGGCUCCGGCCCGGCGGUC